AGGUGGAGUGUGGAAGAGAAGUUCUAUGUUUCACCACUCUUAGAGGAAAUCUUGGUGUUCAGGUUGCUACUUGAGGAGGUCAAGAACUGAAUCCUGGCUAAAGGACUUUAGUCCUUGGCUAGUCAGUUAUUGGCAUUGGAAAGCUAGUGCCAAAUUUCGAACCUGACCAUGAUUCCAUUCGAUAUGCUAAGGUUUGGAUUAGAUUGCCCAACUUGCCACUAGAAUUUUGGGAGAA
rnacentral:lncRNA from 1 species